GAAAACAAAAUGGCAGGAGCACGCUUGACAUUCGAGCAGCGUAAGUACGUUUUGAAGUGUUUUAUUGGGUUUGGGAAUGCCAUCAAAGUGCAGCAUCAAUGGAGAGGGGAGUUUGGUACUGAACCACCAACCCGCCUAACAAUCAAAUGCAUUGUUGACAAGUUUGAAGCGCAUGGAACGAUUUGUGAUAUUCACAAAGGAAGAUCGGGAAGAAUGCCUACAGCAACAAGUCCUGCUUCGUCGGCUCUGGUGUUGGAAAAGUUCGAAAUGUCACCAUAGAAGUCUGCUACGCAAUGUGCAUGGGAGAUGGGGGUUAGCAUUACAAGCGUAUGACGAAUUUUGAAAAAAGC
rnacentral:lncRNA from 1 species